CUAGAGGAAGUUUACUACCUCUGCUUGAUCACAUUGUGUGUGAGAACACAGUAUCAGCCACAGUAUCUGCACUGAACCAUCCCGCAUUUUCAAUUACUUCAACUUGGUUGUAGGUGGGAGAUGAGACUUCAGGAUCUGACAACACUCAGAACCAAGGUUCAUAGACGCCAAAUCCUCUCAAUUGUUGGCAAGAAACAGAGGGCUGAGACUCCUGCCUCGAUGUCAUUGGAGGAAGACGCAUGCUGUUUUGCCCUUGACUUGAAAAUUCUGCAAACUUCAGAAUUGCCAGAUGUCAGUGGAUCAUUGUCUAGCAUUUUAGGAGGGAUAUGAGGAAGCCUAGAGCAAUUCCAGGCUAUGACAGAUGCAGGAGACACCUGCACCACAGCAGUGAAGUGACUCCCAGACGGAGCUGGGGUGCUCCAGGCCUUGGGGAGUGGAUGCAGCGCUACCAGCCCACCUGCAGUGAAGCUGUGUUCAGAGGACAGAGCGCUCAAGCCAUCAUUAAUCUGAUUGAUACAACUUGACUCCCAUCUACUAAAUGCUUCUCAGAAGAUGCCUUGGUGUCUUUCCCUUCCAGCAACCUAAUUUCAUCUACAUCAAAUCUCAAACUUUCGUGACUAAGCCUGGCUAGCUCUUUGAAGGGCACCAGAAGUAAGCUGUAAGGUAAG